rnacentral:snoRNA from 1 species
GGUGGAUGGUGUGCAUGGUGUUUUGUCCAUGUUAUGUAUUGUUGCAGGGCUGUGUUUUGCAGUCUGUGCAGCAGUGCUCGCUCCACACCAGCAGCCAUAGAACAACUGGAGAUCAUAGUACUGGCCCUUGACGUCGUUGUUGACAUCUCACCAUUGGCCAGCCUCCAAAUUCUCCAACAUGA